rnacentral:rRNA from 1 species
AAGUCGUAACAAGGUUUCCGUAGGUGAACCUGCGGAAGGAUCAUUAACAAAUCCCUGUUCAUUCUUGUAUUAUUGUAGUGACGUGAAUGUGGAUUCAUUCUCCAUUUCAUUUCUCCACAUCCAAUACAAGAAUAACACAAGUUCCAUGUUGCAUUGUUUAUAGCUCUGCACAUGACAUUUCUGCAAAUUAUCUAAUUAUAUCAUUACAAAACAACAAAUAACUUUUAACAAUGGAUCUCUAGGCUCUUGCAUCGAUGAAGAACGCAGUGAAGUGCGAAAAGUAAUGCGAUUUGCAUGCUCUGUGAGUCAUCGAAUCUUUGAACGCAUAUGGCACCUUUUGGUUUUUACUAAAAGGUAUGCCUGUUUGAGAAUCAUUUUAUUCUUUUGAUCCAUUUGAUCCAACAAGUCAUUCAUUUGAUUUGNUGUUUAUCACUUUUGGAUCGACAUUGGACUUUUAUCAUUAAUCGUCCUGAAUUCAUACACGGAUUGUUCGUGAUAAAGGGAGUGUACUUUGCACUUGUUAUAUCCAUCGAUCAAUCCAUNCANCUUUUAUUAAUGAUCUCAAAUCAGGCAAGAUUACCCGCUGAACUUAAGCAUAUCAGUAAGCGGANGAAAAGAAACUAACAAGGAUUCCCUCAGUAACGGCGAGUGAAGCNGGAACAGCCCAAAUUUUAAAUCUAAAAGUAUUCAUUACUUUUCGAAUUGUAGUUUAGAGAUAUGAAUCAUGAUUGAUGUGUUGAUACGCAAGUCUUCUGGAAUGAAGUAUCACGGAGGGUGNCAAUCCCGUUUGAGUAUCAAUGUCAUUGAUCGAUUGAAUCAUGUCAACGAGUCGAGUUGUUUGGGAAUGCAGCUCAAAGGGGUGGUAAAUUCCAUCCAAGGCUAAAUAUUGGCAAGAGACCGAUAGCGAACAAGUACUGUGAAGGAAAGAUGAAAAGCACCUUGAAAAGGGAGUUAAAUAGUGCGUGAAAUUGUUAAAAGGGAAACGAUUGACGCCAGUAUUGUUCAUGUUAGUUGAAUAGUCGAGUUUCAUCGUCUAUGUAUCUAAUAUGGCGAGUCAAUGGUGGUUUGCGAUUUCGCAUAUCCCUUGAAGGAAAGAUGACGCUUUGUGCGUUUUACAGUCCUUUGAAUUGGGUGCGUCACGACAGACUGCAACAAUAAUCCAUGAUCCCCUGUAGAAUCUUUGUUGUUCAAAGCAUUUGUAAACAGCGUGCCUGAUUAUGAUUGUCUAAGGAUACCACUUGUUUACAGUACAUGGUUAAGCAUUGACGAAAUGGUGUUAAACGACC